rnacentral:RNase_P_RNA from 1 species
UGAGUGCGCCGGGCAGCCGCAGGUACAUACCUAAAGGUAGUACGCGAGGAAAGUCCGAGCUCCACAGGGCAGGAUAACGGCUAACCGCCGCCGGGGGCGACCCUAGGGAAAGUGCAACAGAGAUAUACCGCCGAUACUUAAUUUAUCGGUAAGGGUGGAAAGGCGAGGUAAGAGCUCACCGGUCAUAUUGGAAACUUUAUGACCCUGUAAACCCUAUCCGGAGCAACACCGUAUAAUGGACUCUUUUUACAUCGGCCCGAUGUGUCCAAACAGGUGGCACUGAGCUAUUGUGGCAACACUUAGCCAAGAUAGAUGGCUGUCUUUAACAGAACUCGGCUUAUAGGCUCACUCACAAC